rnacentral:rRNA from 1 species
CCUACGGGAGGCAGCAGUGGGGGAUAUUGUACAAUGGGGGGAACCCUGAUGCAGCGACGCCGCGUGGGUGAAGAAGCGCCUCGGCGCGUAAAGCCCUGUCAGCAGGGAAGAAAAUGACGGUACCUGAAGAAGAAGCCCCGGCUAACUACGUGCCAGCAGCCGCGGUAAUACGUAGGGGGCAAGCGUUAUCCGGAUUUACUGGGUGGAAAGGGGGCGCAGACGGCGAUGCAAGCCAGGAGUGAAAGCCCGGGGCCCAACCCCGGGACUGCUCUUGGAACUGCGUGGCUGGAGUGCAGGAGGGGCAAGCGGAAUUCUUGGUGUAGCGGUGAAAUGCGUAGAUAUCAGGAGGAACACCGGUGGCGAAGGCGGCCUGCUGGACUGCAACUGACGUUGAGGCCCGAAAGCGUGGGGAGCAAACAGGAUUAGAUACCCGGGUAGUC